CCGGGCCCCCAACCGGGGGCUUACCCCCGAGGGUUUCCCUCCAUCCUCGGGUGUGUGCUUCGCCUUGGGCCUUGAUGCCGCCCCAAGGUCCAGAAGGGCCCUCUCCCACUUGUGCGCAGAAGAGCCAGCCCUCACCCAAGUAGAAACAAAGAUUCAAGGACAUUGCUGACCUGAGGGCCAAGACUAGAGCCUCCUGUACAUGAAGAACUGGUUAUUUUCUCUCUCAGGACUGAUAGGACUGGGCCUAGAAAUAGGGAAGAAAGAAGGAAGAAUGUAAUGAAAAAUAAGGAGCACUAGAAGGCAUUAGAGCCCUCAAAGUGGGCAAGAGAAAUAGGCUUGAAAGUUCUAAUAGAAGGAAUUCAAGAAGAUGAAC